UAAUUUAGACCAAAAAUUUAUUAAUUCAUAAUUAAUUAAUGAUUCCAGAAUUAAUUAAUAAAAUAUUUUUAUUUUUUAAUAAAAUUAUUAAUUCAUAAUAUUUAAUGUUUAUAUUUUUUUGUUAAAUAAAAUUAAACCAAUUAAAGACAAAACAAAAAAUAAAAUCAUUGAAUUUAUUAAAAUUUAAAAUUAAACUAAAUAAAAAAUUUAGAUAAAAAUUUAAAAUCUACUAACAAAAGAAUUAAAUUUAGUUAAAUUUCGAAACAACCAUAUAAGAUCAAAAUUAUAUUAUAUCAAAUCAUUAAUAUUGCAAAAAUUUUAAUUAAUUAAUAAAAUUAUAAGAAUUAAGUACUAAUAAAAAAUAUUAUAUUUAAAUGAAGUAAAAUAUUUAAUUUAACGGAAUAAAAUAAUUUAAAUUUUAUUUCAUAAAUAUAUAGCAACAUAAAUUAAAACAAAUUUUUAAUAUUUUAGCGACAGAAUAUUAAUUUGUUGCUAAAAAUUGAGUUUCAGCAACCAUGUACAUGGUCGCUAAUUAUUCAAUCUUAUAGUGACGUUAGGUUAUGUCGCUAUUAAUUAUCGUUUGUCGCUAAAAUUAAUUUAGGAAAGAAAAAAGUG
rnacentral:lncRNA from 1 species